ACUCCUACGGGAGGCAGCAGUGGGGAAUAUUGCACAAUGGGCGCAAGCCUGAUGCAGCCAUGCCGCGUGUGUGAAGAAGGCCUUCGGGUUGUAAAGCACUUUCAGUCGUGAGGAAGGUGGUAGUGUUAAUAGCACUAUCAUUUGACGUUAGCGACAGAAGAAGCACCGGCUAACUCCGUGCCAGCAGCCGCGGUAAUACGGAGGGGUGCGAGCGUUAAUCGGAAUUACUGGGGCGUAAAGCGCAUGCAGGUGGUUUGUUAAGUCAGAUGUGAAAGCCCGGGGCUCAACCUCGGAAUAGCAUUUGAAACUGGCAGACUAGAGUACUGUAGAGGGGGUAGAAUUUCAGGUGUAGCGGUGAAAUGCGUAGAGAUCUGAAGGAAUACCGGUGGCGAAGGCGGCCCCCUGGACAGAUACUGACACUCAGAUGCGAAAGCGUGGGGAGCGAAACAGGAUUAGAUACCCUGGUAGGAUAGCG
rnacentral:rRNA from 1 species